UACGAAGGGUGCAAGCGUUACUCGGAAUUACUGGGCGUAAAGCGUGCGUAGGUGGUUCGUUAAGUCUGUCGUGAAAGCCCCGGGCUCAACCUGGGAAUGGCGAUGGAUACUGGCGGGCUAGAGUGCGGUAGAGGAGAGUGGAAUUCCCGGUGUAGCAGUGAAAUGCGUAGAGAUCGGGAGGAACAUCGAUGGCGAAGGCAGGUCUCUGGGCAUUAACUGACGCUGAGGAGCGAAAGCAUGGGGAGCGAACAGG
rnacentral:rRNA from 1 species